UCCUCGCCUCCCUGAUUGAUUUGGGCCCAUUGAUCUGGGUUGUUUUUUCAUUGACUAGGUAUGAAUAUGAUUGACAUACUUUUCAAGUUUGGUCACUGGCUCCCUGCACGCGCCCAUGAGCUCAAGCCCCGCCCCUUACCUCCCUCUAACUUGGCCGCCUCCAUGCCGUGGUAAAAUCCCUUCCUAUUUUUGAUAUACUGAAGUUUGUUUGUGUCGGCAGAAUUUGUGUGUUUUGAGUUUGGCAUCUAAAUGGGGGUGGUAAGUUGUGAUGGGGAAAUUACUUGUCAGGGAAUCACUUGGCCUUGUUGUAGUGAGAGCAGAACGAAAUGACCAUGUUAUAUGAAAUUAUACUGCUUAUGCUAAGGUUAUAGUAUUAGACCAAGUCGAUUCUUUUUAAAAUUAGUGACAAAUCAGUAGCUCAUUUUGUUGUGGAAGCACAGUUUAACAUUCAGUUAGUUUUUUUUUGUUGUUUAGAAUUUUUGACAUCAUGUCUGAAGACUAAAUUGAUAUUGGUUCAUAUAAAUGACCGUGUUGCUGCUAAUCUCAGGCCAUCCAGGCAAGACAUAGCUUCUAGUUUUUCGGCAUUAGUGCACGCUUGAAGCACUCUCCCUGUAGAAAGCAGAACCUUUCCAGUUAUCUUGUAAAACCAUCCCCACACUCGCAACUCCUGUUGCCCUGAUGAUAGAGCCAUGAGCCAUCCACAUUGAUUUUGACCCAGUUCAUUCCGGCGGCUUCCAGCCAGAUCAAUUAUGUACUCAUCCACUCACCUCUUUCUUUCAUGAGUAAUUAACUGGUAUAUUGUUGCAUGUAUUAUUGCAGUGGGCAAGUGCAGAAAAGUUAUGGUCUAUUUGGCGUGACGAGGUUGAGGGAAAUGUGUUGCAAACUAUGAUGUUCUCUUAACAUCCAAUUGAUUUGGUCAUAGAACUCGGCCGCCACUCCACAAUUGCAUAUGGUGGUUGCGAACAAACUUAUUUGUACAAUAAAGAAGCUAAUAUGUUUAAUCUUGUUAGAUACACUUGCGGAAUGCAGAAGCAGCUUCAUCAUUGUCUUUCUAUAUUUGGUAUUUUCUGACAUGAACUAUUGCAUCUACUGAGGUAAUUUCGUUGGGAAGCUUGCCAGACUAUCACAAAGUUCCUUUGUAGCUCAGGCUACACAGACUAUACGCUAGGCUCUCUACCGUAUGCAACAGUAUUUUUAUCAGUCUACAAACUAGUACUUAGAAUUCUUCUAUUUGGAAAUAACAAACAAAGGCAAACUUUAUUUCUUUUCUGAAAUUGUGUUCUGCAUGUUCAUCAUAUAUCACAGGUUCAUUUAUGGAGUUCUUGAAAGAAAAAAGGUACUGAUUGUGUGUGCAACUCUGCAUUACAUGAUUUAAAAUGUUGUUGCUUAUAUCAAUAAGAUUUUGGUCAAGAAAUAAAAAAGAACAGACAUAAUUGUCAAUACGCCGGGCUUUGUUUUGGAAUUAAAUGCUUUAGAUCUUGGAUGCCGCUUUUAUAUCCUUUGUUGUGUUCAAUCAGGUUUUAUUAGAUGAUCAAUUAAUCUUUGGUUGCGUCUCAGAAAAAAUGAUCUUUAGUUUGACAUAGUGUCAUCGGGUUGCAACUGAACAUGACACGAAACUGUUGUUCAAGGUGUUAAUGAUCUUCUGUCAGAUUUGUAUAUUAACAGAUUUGCUUGUUAAAAUCUUGUCAAGUUUCUUUGUGACAGUUACAGUUAAGCACAUUUCCAAAUAUAUUCUCUUGAUACGAAAGGCAUACAGGAAAGAGAUCAAAUUUUCAUUAUCAUUCUCGUGUAGCUUUGUGCAUACUUUUUGUUUAGCCGUUGGUGAAAUCUGCAAGCUUUCAUUGUAGGUGGUAAUUGAAUCAAGCAAUUCAGUAUGAACUAAUAGAGGGCAGGGGGUUCUACAGAUGGAGCAGCAUCAAGGACUGUGCCGUGAGGAAGCACGUGGAGUGGAGUCAUGGCAGCGCCGUGAUUCUCAUUUAACCAAUGAGAACAAACACAACCACAACCACGUCCAGCCCCCGACCUAUUGAUGCUCACCGUGAAUUCAGUAAAGCUUAACUGAAGCUACCAAUGCCAGAAGAAUAUAGAUGAACUCUAAAUUAUUAUGCCAUGGAUGGAACAUGUCAUUCAGCUGGUUUUGGUUAUUCAGUCUCACAAAAGAUUUGGAUGUAAGUGAAAUUUGUACCAGGAAGACAAAGAUAACAUUACCUGUCGUUUUCAUGAUGUAUAGUGAAUACUUGAUCUGGGCUGCAACACAUUUACCUUAUGAAUUAUUCUGUCGAUAAAAUCGUGCUUCUCAAAUUUCCUUGUAUAAGUGGAAGUUUUUCCUUCUAAUUUGUGUAUGUUUUCAGAAGAUUGCGAUAGGAUUGUCAAUAAGUGUUAUGUUAAGUGAAUCUGAGAAAAAUCAUGAUGAUUCCUAGUUUUGG
rnacentral:lncRNA from 1 species